AUGGCGUGGGCGCCCAGUCGGAACUGUCGAGCUGCGCAUGCGCCCGUCCUCGCCGCGCCGUGCAGCCGGGCAGGAAAGGGGCGGGGCAGGGGGAUGACGAGAGGUCGGCUGAGGCGAGGGAGCGCGCCUGCGCACUGCCUCGAACUCUGCUGCGGUGCGGAGAAUGACGGGAGGCGGAAGUGGGGCGGCUUCCUACUAUGUGCAAGGCAAGGAAAAGGCUGCACUAAUGCUGGUCCUGCAGAGCGGGGAUGCCAACUGGCUGAGCCCCUCUGCUGUGGGGCUGCGUGGCAGGACAAAUGGAACAGAGGACUUGGCUCCAGGAAAGACCAUUAGUUAAGUUCAUAUCCAAGGAUACACCUGUAUAUCCUCUUAGAAACCAGGGAAAACCAAAGUCUGCGGAUGAAGGAAGACACAGAGGCAUUUUUAAGGGACAAAUAGAGGUGAUGGUGGGACAGAAGGAGGCAGUGACACGUAAUCCCCUUCUGGGACUUGCUAAGGACUGUAGACGUGCAAUGGUCACACCUGCCAGCUCACCCAUGUGUCCUGGGGCUUGUUAAUGAGCCCUUUGCUAGAGAUGUAGCUCUCAUUCUGUCAGGAGCUGGAGAGCUUCAGCCCAUUUUCUUCAGUAGUGUGGCUCUCAGUCAUCAGUCACAUCACUCUAAGAAUAAAAUUACAUCCAAAUUAACCCUUCCGUCA
rnacentral:lncRNA from 1 species